CCCGCGGGUAAAUGAUUUAUCGUUGCUUACAGAUAAACAUUAAAUUACCUUCUGUAUCCUGCCAUCCAUACUUCCCACCUACAACAGUGGCUACACCCGCGUGCGAAGUAUGUCCGUCUUUUUUUUCUUUUUCUUUUUUUCACAUCUACCCAAAUUUCACAGUCUUUCAUAUUUACAAUUACCUAUACCUAUCCGUUAUACGUCUUAAAUUAUUAUAUUUUAUCGAUAUAAAAUACACACUUAUCGUAAUAUUAUAACUAUACGGUAUUGUAAUGUUAUGCUCAUACAACAUAAUAUUUAUUUUUAUAAAAUGUAUUAUUUAUAUUACUAAAACAGUGUGUAACGAAAAGAUUCAAAUACGGCCUUAGAGUACUUGGUAUUUUCUACUUAAAAAAUGUAAACAAUUUAAUAAACGUAACGGAGCAUUUGCUGUUCGAGAAGGAUACAUA